GCGAAAUGCAGGACCUAACAUGCUUGACAUUCAUUCAACACAAGAAUUCUUGGAAGCUCUUAGUCAGGCUGGUGAUAGACUUGUUAUUGUAGAAUUCUAUGGAUCAUGGUGUGCUUCCUGUAAAGCACUGUUUCCCAAGUUCUGCAGAACAGCCCAGGAGCACCCUGAAAUCCUGUUUCUGAAAGUCAAUUUUGAUGCAAACAAGUCAAUGUGCAAAGCUUUGAAUGUAAAAGUCCUCCCGUAUUUCCAUUUCUACCGCGGAGCUGAUGGACAAUUAGAGUCCUUCUCUUGUUCACUGGCCAAAUUCCAGAAGAUAAAAGAUGCAAUCCAAUUACAUAAUACAGACCGCUGCAGUAUUGGCCCACCAAUAGGAGUAGGAGACCUCACACUUGAACUCCUUUCGGCGACAAAGGAUGUAUCUGCUGCAGCUUCUUCUACUUAGAUUUGCUUGUGUUUUUCAAUCUAUAUAUCAAUAGCUUGCAUUUGAGCAACCACGAAAGCUUUUAUGAUGGUUUCUAUAUAUGGUCAUUUUCACUUUUUGGUUGCUACUACAAUUUCCACCACUCUAGCUAAUCAUGUAAUUAUAUGCUCCAUUCUUUGAUACCAUUAACA
rnacentral:misc_RNA from 1 species